GGUCAAGCGAAUAAGCGCACACGGUGGAUGCCUAGGCGGUCAGAGGCGAUGAAGGACGUGGUAGCCUGCGAAAAGUGUCGGGGAGCUGGCAACAAGCUUUGAUCCGGCAAUAUCCGAAUGGGGAAACCCACUGCUUCGGCAGUAUCCUGCAGUGAAUUCAUAGCUGCUGGAAGCGAACCCGGUGAACUGAAAUAUCUAAGUAACCGGAGGAAAAGAAAUCAACCGAGAUUCCCUAAGUAGUGACGAGCGAACGGGGAGCAGCCCUUAAGCUGGAAUGGCUUUAGAAAAACAAUCUGGAAAGAUUGGCCAUAGAAGGUGAUAGCCCUGUAUUUAAAAGGGCCACUCCAGUGAAGACGAGUAGGGCGGGGCACGUGAAACCCUGUCUGAAUAUGGGGGGACCAUCCUCCAAGGCUAAAUACUCCUGACCGACCGAUAGUGAACCAGUACCGUGAGGGAAAGGCGAAAAGAACCCCGGAGAGGGGAGUGAAAUAGAUCCUGAAACCGUGUGCGUACAAGCAGUAGGAGCUCGCAAGAGUGACUGCGUACCUUUUGUAUAAUGGGUCAGCGACUUACUGUUCGUGGCAAGCUUAACCGUAUAGGGGAGGCGAAGGGAAACCGAGUCUGAUAAGGGCGCAUAGUCGCGGGCAGUAGACCCGAAACCGGGUGAUCUAGUCAUGGCCAGGGUGAAGGUGCCGUAACAGGUACUGGAGGCCCGAACCCACGUCUGUUGCAAAAGACGGGGAUGAGCUGUGAUUAGGAGUGAAAAGCUAAUCGAACCCGGAGAUAGCUGGUUCUCCUCGAAAGCUAUUUAGGUAGCGCCUCAUAUGUAUCCUCUCGGGGGUAGAGCACUGUUAUGGCUAGGGGGUCAUCGCGACUUACCAAACCAUUGCAAACUCCGAAUACCGAGACGGACUGUAUGGGAGACACACGGCGGGUGCUAACGUCCGUCGUGAAAAGGGAAACAACCCAGACCCACAGCUAAGGUCCCAAAUUCACUGCUAAGUGGAAAACGAUGUGGAAAGGCAUAGACAGCCAGGAGGUUGGCUUAGAAGCAGCCACCCUUUAAAGAAAGCGUAAUAGCUCACUGGUCGAGUCGGUCUGCGCGGAAGAUUUAACGGGGCUAAGCAGUGAACCGAAGCUUGGGGUGCAUAAAACGUGUUUUAUGCGCGGUAGAGGAGCGUUCCGUAAGCCUGCGAAGGUGGAUUGAGAAGUCUGCUGGAGGUAUCGGAAGUGCGAAUGCUGACAUGAGUAACGAUAAUGCGGGUGAAAAGCCCGCACGCCGAAAGCCCAAGGUUUCCUUGCGCAACGUUAAUCGACGCAGGGUUAGUCGGUCCCUAAGGCGAGGGCGAAAGCCGUAGUCGAUGGGAAGCAGGUUAAUAUUCCUGCACCUCGCGUGAGUGCGAUGGAGGGACGGAGAAGGUUAGGUGUACCGGGCGUUGGUUGUCCCGGGGAAAGGCGGUAGGUUUGGAUCUUUGGCAAAUCCGGGAUCCUUUAAGACCGAGCACCGAGACGAGCCUUUAUGGCGAAGUCACUGAUACCACGCUUCCAGGAAAAGCUCCUAAGCUUCAGCUCACGAAGACCGUACCGUAAACCGACACAGGUGGGUAGGAUGAGAAUUCUCAGGCGCUUGAGAGAACUCGGGUGAAGGAACUAGGCAACAUGGCACCGUAACUUCGGGAGAAGGUGCACCCUUUUUGGUGGCUCGUGCGAGCUAUAGCUGAAGAGGGUCGCAGAAACCAGGCCGCUGCGACUGUUUAUCAAAAACACAGCACUCUGCAAACACGAAAGUGGACGUAUAGGGUGUGACGCCUGCCCGGUGCUGGAAGGUUAAUUGAUGGGGUCAGCCGCAAGGCGAAGCUCUUGAUCGAAGCCCCAGUAAACGGCGGCCGUAACUAUAACGGUCCUAAGGUAGCGAAAUUCCUUGUCGGGUAAGUUCCGACCUGCACGAAUGGCGUAACGACAGCGGCGCUGUCUCCACCCGAGACUCAGUGAAAUUGAAAUCGCUGUGAAGAUGCAGCGUUCCCGUGGCAAGACGGAAAGACCCCGUGAACCUUUACUAUAGCUUUACACUGAACGUUGAGUUCGUCUGUGUAGGAUAGGUGGGAGGCUAUGAAACUGUGGCGCUAGCUGCAGUGGAGCCAUCCUUGAAAUACCACCCUGUCGUGCUUGACGUUCUAACCUAGGUCCGUUAUCCGGAUCAGGAACCGUGUAUGGUGGGUAGUUUGACUGGGGCGGUCUCCUCCUAAAGAGUAACGGAGGAGCACGAAGGUACGCUCAGCGCGGUCGGACAUCGCGCACUGUGUGCAAAGGCAUAAGCGUGCUUGACUGCAAGAUCGACGGAUCAAGCAGGUACGAAAGUAGGUCUUAGUGAUCCGGUGGUUCUGUAUGGAAGGGCCAUCGCUCAACGGAUAAAAGGUACUCCGGGGAUAACAGGCUGAUACCGCCCAAGAGUUCAUAUCGACGGCGGUGUUUGGCACCUCGAUGUCGGCUCAUCACAUCCUGGGGCUGUAGUCGGUCCCAAGGGUAUGGCUGUUCGCCAUUUAAAGUGGUACGCGAGCUGGGUUCAGAACGUCGUGAGACAGUUCGGUCCCUAUCUGCCAUGGGCGUUGGAAGUUUGAGAGGGGCUGCUCCUAGUACGAGAGGACCGGAGUGGACGAACCUCUGGUGUUCCGGUUGUCACGCCAGUGGCAUUGCCGGGUAGCUAUGUUCGGAAGCGAUAACCGCUGAAAGCAUCUAAGCGGGAAGCGCGCCUCAAGAUGAGACUUCCCGGGGCACAAGCCCCCUAAAGGAACCAUGUAGACUACGUGGUUGAUAGGUCAGGUGUGUAAGUACAGCAAUGUAUUGAGCUAACUGAUACUAAUGAUCCGUGCGGCUUGACCAU
rnacentral:rRNA from 1 species